GCUAGCGUUACAUGUAACAGGAUAUACAGGAUAUAGAGCAAGUGGUUUCAGCUUGAUGUGUUUCCUCGCCUUCCGAGGUUUCCGAGAACGAUGCGGCGGAAUAGUAAACAAGCGUAUCUGUAUGCCAUCAUAACUGUGGUAGUCGUUGUGAUUUUGAUCGUCUUGAUUAUACCUAGCAAGAAGGUUUACUCCCGCCCGAGGUGGGAUUUCCGCAAAGACGAGAUAUGCAGGAAUCAAUUAGUAGACUCCGGAACACAAUAUGACGUGAGAAACGGACACCAAUUGCCCAGCAAAAAGCAUCUCUGUUCACAAACUAUUCCUCAAAUAGAACGUACCUACGCAAGGUAAACUGCCGCAGAUGUUG